ensembl:lncRNA
UUUUCUUUUCUGCCGUGAGAACUGCUUUAGCUUGAUGCAGUCCCACUUGUUGAUUUUCGCUUGUCUGCCAUCCUAUUUCUUGGUAUUUAUCCAAAGGAAAUAAAAACAGGAAUAUCGACAAGAUACCUACACUCCCGUGUUUACUGCAGCAUUAUUCACAACAGCCAAGGUGUGGAAAGAACCUAAGUGUCUGUCAGUGAUGAAUGGAUAAAGACGAUCUGGGACCUAUAUAUACACUGGAAUACUAUGCAGCUGCGGGAAAGAAAGAAAUCCUGCCAUUUGUGACAACAUGGAUAGAACUGGAGGGCAUUAUACUAAGUGAGAUAAGUCAGACAGAGGAAGACAAGCACUGUAUGUAUUCCCUUAUGCAUGGAAUCUAGAAAAACUAAACUCAUUAGAAACAGCAGAAUAUAAUCACCAGGGGUUGGAGGUAGGAGAAUCGGGGAGAUGUUGGUUAAAGGGAACACAUUUGCAGUUAGAAGAUGAAUAAGUCCUGGUAAUCUAAUGCACAGCAUUUUUAUUACAGUCAACAAUACUGUAUUAUAUACUUUAAAGUUGCUAAGAGACUAGAUUUUAAAGUGUUCUCACCACAAAAAUGAAAAGAUCACUAUCUGACUUAUUUGACAUGAUGGAGAUGUCAGGUAAGAGGCUAUGGUGGUAAUCAUAUUACAAUAAACAUAAUAAAUGAAUCAAAUCAACUGACAUUUACAUCAAUGUACAUCUUAAAUUUACACAAGGUACUCCAUCAAUUACAUCUCAAUAAAAAUAAAUGUAGAAAGACUGCUAUGUGAACAAACCACCUAGAGUUUUGUGUAUCAAAACACAAAGCCUGAAUCAGUAGUGUAGGGCCCUGGGAGUCUGCGUUUCUAGCAGCUUCCGGGCGAUGGCAGUGCUACUAGCCUCUGGGCCACACCUGGAGCAGCAAAACUUACACCCGGUCUCCCCUAAUCCUCAGGCUGGUGAAACUGAUUUUAUCAAAAGAAGUUAAGGGGUUUUCCGAAUGAAAGGGAGGAAGACAGGUGUGAAACGAUACUCAGUUUUGGAACUGGCAAUGUGGAUGUGGAAAGACGCUGCUCAGAGCGACCCUGAGCUCCUGAGAGGAAGUCGGGAUCAUCUUAGACUCAGGUGUAGGCUUAUGCUCCUCACGUCUUGCCGUUCUCACCCAGGUCGUGCAAGUGACGGAGUGACCUUCACCCAGUUCCGCAACUGCAGCUGCAGACGCCUGAAAAAUCCCAGAGUCACAGCCGCAGGCCCCACCAGCAGCUGCUCUUUGACCUGACUCUCUUCACUUAAUGGAGGCUGGUUUUCCCUGGAAAUCAAGGGGGAUUGUGGGAUAAGUCUUGAGCAAAAUCAAUCACUCCAAGCAAGAGAGAUUGGCCUGGGGCAGGAUGGCGGCUGUUCAUUCUUGAGAAUAUCUUUUCCUGGCUUUAAUAUUCAAAUCUGAGCCCAGAAGACGUCAGUCUGAAAAGUUAUACAAUCAUGUACCAAAAGGUGUACUUUUAGGCCCAAGACAUUUUCAUAUGUUCCUGACCUUUGUAUGUUACCUGUAUUGCAUGGCAUCUGUAGAAUGUAUGUAGCAAGUCUAUGGUCCAGCACAUUAAACAGCUGAUAACUGACCACAUUAAGGAAGCUGGCUACAAACCAGUCACUGCUAAGCAUUUCCUGUGCAUGAGGAACAGUAACACAACAAGAGCAAGACAGGAAUCCUAAUUCUGCCAAAUACUGGCUUUGAAAGCCUGAGCUAGCUACUUAGGUCUCAGUCCCUUCAUCUGAAGAAUGGGAACAAUAUG